rnacentral:rRNA from 1 species
AGCCAAUAGAUACCCAGGUAGUCCACGCCCUAAACGAUGUCUACUAGUUGUUGGUGGAGUAAAAUCCAUGAGUAAACGCAGCUAACGCGUGAAGUAGACCGCCUGGGGAGUACGGUCGCAAGAUUAAAACUCAAAGGAAUUGACGGGGGCCCGGCACAAGCGGUGGAUUAUGUGGAUUAAUUCGAUGCAACGCGAAAACCUUAACCUGGCCUUGACAUGCCACUAACGAAGCAGAGAUGCAUUAGGUGCCCGUAAGGGAAAGUGGACACAGGUGCUGCAUGGCUGUCGUCAGUUCGUGUCGUGAGAUGUUGGGUUAAAGUCCCGCAACGAGCGCAACCCUUGCCAUUAAUUGCCAUCAUUUAGUUGGGCACUUUAAUGGGACUGCCGGUGACAAACCGGAGGAAGGUGGGGAUGACGUCAAGUCCUCAUGGCCCUUAUGGCCAGGGCUUCACACGUAAUACAAUGGUCGGUACAGAGAGUUGCCAACCCGCGA